rnacentral:lncRNA from 1 species
UGCAGACAGGAGUUAAUCCCAAAUCUGGAACCAGGGAAACUACACCCUAAAUGUAGACAUCUCACGUGCCUUCUGGAGUCAAAUCCUCUGUAAGUGAAGUAUCUGUCACUUAAGAACAGUUCCUUAAAAAUUUACCUCUAUUUUAAUUUCUGGGAAAUGGAAUAUUACAUCAGGAGAGAUGAGCUCAAUGUUGCGGAUGAAUACCCGAGCAAGUAGAGUGGAUUUCAUGUGAAAGAAAGAAGACACAAAAAAAUUAUAAAGAUUCAGUGUUGAAGAUCA